GCGCGGGUGGUGGAAUUGGCAGACACGUAAGCCUCAGGAGCUUAUGGGCGCAAGCCUGUGCAGGUUCAAAUCCUGUCCCGCGCA
rnacentral:tRNA from 1 species